AACGAACGCUGGCGGCAUGCCUAACACAUGCAAGUCGCACGAGAAAGCUUCCUUCGGGAAGUUAGUAAAGUGGCGAACGGGUGAGUAGCGCGUGGGUAACGUGCCCUUCGGUGGGGGAUAAUCAUGGGGAAACUGUGGCUAAUACCGCACUCGCUUCACAGUGCCAAGUGCUGUGAAGGAAAGAUUGCCUCUGUAUAUGCAAUCGCCGAAGGAGCGGCCCGCGUCCCAUUAGCUAGUUGGUGGGGUAAUGGCCUACCAAGGCAACGAUGGGUAGCCGGCCUGAGAGGGUGAUCGGCCACACUGGGACUGAGACACGGCCCAG
rnacentral:rRNA from 1 species